rnacentral:rRNA from 1 species
AUUGAACGCUGGCGGCAUGCCUUACACAUGCAAGUCGAACGGUAACAGGUCUUCGGAUGCUGACGAGUGGCGAACGGGUGGGUAAUACAUCGGAACGUGCCUAGUAGUGGGGGAUAACUACUCGAAAGAGUGGCUAAUACCGCAUGAGAUCUACGGAUGAAAGCAGGGGAUCGCAAGACCUUGUGCUACUAGAGCGGCCGAUGGCAGAUUAGGUAGUUGGUGGGAUAAAAGCUUACCAAGCCGACGAUCUGUAGCUGGUCGGAGAGGACGAUCAGCCACACUGGGACUGAGACACGGCCCAGACUCCUACGGGAGGCAGCAGUGGGGAAUUUUGGACAAUGGGCGCAAGCCUGAUCCAGCAAUGCCGCGUGCAGGAAGAAGGCCUUCGGGUUGUAAACUGCUUUUGUACGGAACGAAACGGUCCUGGUUAAUACCUGGGGCUAAUGACGGUACCGUAAGAAUAAGCACCGGCUAACUACGUGCCAGCAGCCGCCGCGGUAA